rnacentral:rRNA from 1 species
GACCAUCCCAGUUCGGAUCGCAGGCUGCAACCCGCCUGCGUGAAGUUGGAAUCGCUAGUAAUCGCGGAUCAGCAUGCCGCGGUGAAUACGUUCCCGGGCCUUGUACACACCGCCCGUCACACCAUGAGAGUCGGGAACACCCGAAGUCCGUAGUCUAACCGCAAGGGGACGCGGCCGAAGGUGGGGUUGAUGAUUAGGGUUAAGUCGUAACAAGGUACC